ACGACCUUUACAUAUAUGCAAUUUUGCCAACCCUCGCACCGUCUCCUACACGACUCUCUCUUUCUCUCUCUCUCUCUCUCUUCACUGUCAUGGAGGCGCUUGUCUGCAUGAAGCUCGGUGAUCCCACCGUCCCCAUGACCUCCGAUUCGUCCCCGAUCGCGGCGGUCACCAAAUUCCACCCCGUCCCCGCGAUCUCCUCCUCGACCUCGGUCCGAGUCCGGAUCCGGGCCACGAGCCUCAACUUCGCCAAUUACCUCCAGAUACUGGGCCGUUACCAGGAGAAGCCCCCCCUCCCCUUCAUCCCGGGCUCCGACUACUCCGGCGUCGUCGAAUCCGUCGGAAGCGGCGUCUCCAGGUUCAAGGUCGGGGAUAAAGUUUGCUCCUUUGCUGCCCUCGGGUCCUUUGCCGAGUUCAUUGUCGUCGACGAGAAAGACCUAUUCUUAGUGCCCGAGGGAUGUGACCUAAUUGCUGCUGCUGCUUUACCUGUUGCUUUUGGGACUUCACAUGUAGCUCUUGUUCAUAGAGCACAACUAAAACCUGGUCAGGUACUGCUUGUCCUUGGUGCCGCUGGUGGUGUUGGUAUUUCAGCUGUGCAGAUAGGAAAAGUUUGUGGGGCAAUUGUUAUUGCUGUUGCAAGGGGUGAUGAAAAGGUGCAAUUUCUCAAGUCGCUGGGUGUCGAUUAUGCCGUUGACUUGGGAAAGGGGAACAUCAUUGAAAGUGUGAAGAAUUUCCUCAAGUCGAGAAAUCUGAAAGGAGUUGAUGUUCUAUAUGAUCCAGUUGGGGGUAAACUUACAAAAGAGUGCAUGAAGCUUCUUAACUGGGGCGCAAAUAUUCUUAUCAUUGGAUUUGCAAGUGGUGAAGUUCCAGUCAUCCCAGCAAAUAUUGCUCUUGUGAAGAACUGGACAGUUCAUGGACUUUAUUGGGGCAGCUACAAACUGCAUCAACCACAUAUCCUAAGAAAUUCUCUUGAGGAGCUGCUAUCCUGGUUGUCAAAGGGGUUGUUAACUGUUCAUAUAUCUCAUUCCUAUAGUUUAUCACAGGCAGAUCUGGCUUUUGCUGCUAUUAAAGAUAGGAAAGCCAUUGGCAAGGUGAUGAUUGCUUUAGGGGGCUCCACUGCAGGAAGAUCAAAGCUCUGAUAUGCCACAGGAUUGUAACAGGUAGCAGCAGAUGGUGCAGCACAAAUGAUCUCUGUAAUAAAUGCAGAUACCCUAGUGAUCCUCACAAUGUUGUGGGAGCUGCAACUAUAUUUCAGUGGGAUUUAGAUCGAGGUUUUUCACAUUGUUAUAAUGGUUGGUUGUUGUGUUGGUUGCUUUCGAUACAACAAUCGUCAAUAACUGAAUCUAUCGAGUGGUGGCCUCUGUGAAGGACUUGUGGUAAGUUAAUUUGGCCUCCUCUUAAAGGAUCAGCUAAUGUGGAGUGUCUCAAGAAACGAACUCCAUGUCCUUUCAUUGUGGUUUAGUAUAAAUAUUGCUCAGCACUGAUGAUGGAUCAUGCAGUUUGAUA